UACGUAGGGGGCUAGCGUUGUCCGGAAUCAUUGGGCGUAAAGAGCGCGUAGGCGGCCCGGUAAGUCCGCUGUAAAAGUCACAGGCUCAACCUGUGAAUGUCAGUGGAUACUGCCGGGCUAGAGUCCGGAAGAGGCGAGUGGAAUUCCUGGUGUAGCGGUGGAAUGCGCAGAUAUCAGGAGGAACACCAACGGCGAAGGCAGCUCGCUGGGACGGUACUGACGCUGAGGCACGAAAGCGUGGGGAGCAAACAGG
rnacentral:rRNA from 1 species